UCUCAAGCGAGAUAAGGGCAUUUGGUGAAUGCCUUGGCACCGAGAGGCGAUGAAGGACGUGGCACCCUGCGAAAAGCUUCGGGGAGAUGGGAGCAAUCUUUGAUCCGGAGGUCUCCGAAUGGGGCAACCCACCCCUUUUAGGGGUAUCGGCAGCUGAAUUCAUAGGCUGUCGAGGCGAACCCGGCGAAUUGAAACAUCUCAGUAGCCGGAGGAAAGGACAUCAACAGAGACUCCGCAAGUAGUGGCGAGCGAACGCGGACCAGGCCAGUGGCGCAGUGUUAAGAACCGGAACCGUCUGGAAAGUCGGGCCAUAGCGGGUGACAGCCCCGUACGGGUAGAACGGCAUUGCGUCCUCGAGUAAGGCGGGACCCGUGAAAUCCUGUCCGAACAUGGGGGGACCACCCUCCAAGCCUAAGUACUCCUCGGUGACCGAUAGUGAACCAGUACCGUGAGGGAAAGGUGAAAAGCACCCCAAUGAGGGGAGUGAAACAGACCUGAAACCGAAUGCCUACAAGCAGUGGGAGCCGGCGUCCGCCGGUGACCGCGUACCUUUUGUAUAAUGGGUCAGCGAGUUGAUGUUGCGAGCGAGCUUAAGCCGUUAGGUGGAGGCGUAGCGAAAGCGAGUCUUAAUAGGGCGAAUGAGUUCGCAGGAUCAGACCCGAAACCGGGUGAUCUAGCCAUGGGCAGGCUGAAGGUGGGGUAACACCCACUGGAGGGCCGAACCCACCACCGUUGAAAAGGUGGGGGAUGACCUGUGGCUAGGGGUGAAAGGCCAAUCAAACCCGGCGAUAGCUGGUUCUCCGCGAAAGCUAUUUAGGUAGCGCGUCGUGUCUCACCACCGGGGGUAGAGCACUGGAUGGGCUAGGGGGCCCCACAGGCUUACCAAACCCAACCAAACUCCGAAUACCGGUGAGUGCAAUCACGGCAGACAGACGGUGGGUGCUAAGAUUCAUCGUCAAGAGGGAAACAGCCCAGACCGCCAGCUAAGGUCCCCAAGUCGUGGCUAAGUGGAAAAGGAUGUGGGAAGGCCAAGACAACCAGGAGGUUGGCUUAGAAGCAGCCAUCCUUUAAAGAAAGCGUAACAGCUCACUGGUCUAGUGAAGCCAUCCUGCGCCGAAGAUGUACCGGGGCUCAAGCCACGCACCGAAGCUGCGGGUGUCAGGUAUCAGUUGACAGGUAUCAGGUAUCAGACGGAACCGUGUUUCUGCAGGAGCAGACUGUGAUCCGUUCGUUUGAAGACUUGGAUGCUUUCAAGCGGGCGUAUCGUCUGUCUCUGGAGAUACAUCGGGUCAGUCUGGCUUGGCCGAGAGAAGAACAAAGUGGCCUUGGCGAUCAGAUGCGCCGGUCGAGCAAAUCGAUCUGCGCCAAUCUGGCCGAAGGCCAUGGCAAGCAGGCGUUGUCCGCGAAGGAGUUCAAUCGCUUUCUGUUCAUGGCGAUCGGCUCGGCGGACGAGAUGCGGGUCUGGUGCCGCUAUUGCCUGGAUCUCGGCUAUAUCGACCAGCCCACGUGGCAGCGAUGGAGCGACGCGUAUCGCGAGAUCGCAAAGAUGCUGCAAGGUCUGGCCGGCCGUGUAUUGGGAUCGCGUUCUGAUCCCUGAUCCCUGUCAUCUGAUACCUGACGCGGUAGCGGAGCGUUCCGUAAGCCUGCGAAGGGGGAGCCGCGAGGCCCCCUGGAGGUAUCGGAAGUGCGAAUGCUGACAUGAGUAGCGACAAAGCGGGUGAGAGACCCGCUCGCCGCAAGUCCAAGGGUUCCUCGGCAAGGCUAAUCCGCCGAGGGUGAGCCGGCCCCUAAGGUGAGGGCGAAAGCCGUAGCCGAUGGGAAUGGGGUUAAUAUUCCCCAGCCGGCCGGUGGUGACGGCUGCCAGAAGUUGUCCGGGCUUAUUGGAUUGUCCGGGCGGCGAAGGCGGUCCAGGAAACAACCACCGGCAUGAACGACCGUACCCGAAACCGACACAGGUGGACUGGUAGAGCAUACCGAGGCGCUUGAGAGAACGGUGUUGAAGGAACUCGGCAAAAUGCCCCCGUAACUUCGGGAGAAGGGGGCCCCUGUUCCGGGCAACCGGGAUGGGGGGGCACAGACCAGGGGGUGGCGACUGUUUACUAAAAACACAGGGCUCUGCGAAGCCGUGAGGCGACGUAUAGGGUCUGACGCCUGCCCGGUGCCGGAAGGUUAAGGGGAGGGGUGCAAGCUCCGAACCGAAGCCCCGGUAAACGGCGGCCGUAACUAUAACGGUCCUAAGGUAGCGAAAUUCCUUGUCGGGUAAGUUCCGACCUGCACGAAUGGCGUAACGACUUCCCCGCUGUCUCCAACACCGACUCAGCGAAAUUGAAUUCUCCGUGAAGAUGCGGAGUACCCGCGGUCAGACGGAAAGACCCCGUGCACCUUUACUACAGCUUUGCAGUGGUACGAGGAGAUGGAUGUGUAGGAUAGGUGGGAGGCUUCGAAGCCCAGGCGCCAGCCCGGGUGGAGCCAACCUUGAAAUACCACCCUUCUGUGUUCUCGUAUCUAACCGAGGCCCGUGAACCCGGGUCCGGGACCCUGCAUGGCGGGUAGUUUGACUGGGGCGGUCGCCUCCCAAAGAGUAACGGAGGCGCGCGAUGGUGGGCUCAAGCUGGUCGGAAAUCAGCUGCGGAGUGCAAUGGCAUAAGCCCGCCUGACUGCGAGACCGACAGGUCGAGCAGAGACGAAAGUCGGCCAUAGUGAUCCGGUGGUCCCGCGUGGAAGGGCCAUCGCUCAACGGAUAAAAGGUACGCCGGGGAUAACAGGCUGAUCUCCCCCAAGAGUCCACAUCGACGGGGAGGUUUGGCACCUCGAUGUCGGCUCAUCACAUCCUGGGGCUGGAGCAGGUCCCAAGGGUUCGGCUGUUCGCCGAUUAAAGUGGUACGUGAGCUGGGUUUAGAACGUCGUGAGACAGUUCGGUCCCUAUCUGCCGUGGGUGUUGGAGACUUGAGAGGCGCUGCCCCUAGUACGAGAGGACCGGGGUGGACGGACCUCUGGUGGACCUGUUGUCGCGCCAGCGGCAUAGCAGGGUAGCUAAGUCCGGACGGGAUAACCGCUGAAAGCAUCUAAGCGGGAAACCCCCCUCAAAACAAGGUCUCCCCCGAGAGCCGUGGAAGACCACCACGUCAAUAGGCCGGAUGUGGAAGCGCAGCAAUGCGUGCAGCUGACCGGUCCUAAUCGCUCGACAGGCUUGAGAGC
rnacentral:rRNA from 1 species